UGUUCCUACGGGAGGCAGCAGUGGGGGAUAUUGCACAAUGGGGGAAACCCUGAUGCAGCGACACCGCGUGGGUGAAGAAGCGCUUCGGCGUGUAAAGCCCUAUCAGUGGGGAAGAAAAAGGACGGUACCCAAAGAAGAAGCACCGGCUAAAUACGUGCCAGCAGCCGCGGGAAUACGUAUGGUGCAAGCGUUAUCCGGAAUGACUGGGUGUAAAAAGAGCGUAGACGGUUGUACACAUCU
rnacentral:rRNA from 1 species